GAGUGGGGUAGUAAAAAGAGGGAUGUGGAUGGAGUGGGGAAUAACUUCCUCCAUAUAAUUACUUAGGUGGAAUUUAUUUUAUAUUUUAUAAUUGAUCAAAUUAGUGUUUUACUAUUUUACUCCUAUUAUAUUAAUUUGCAGUCUUUUAGCACUUUGGUUAAUCAAGGGUAUGUUUUGGGUUUGUGAAUUUAUCAUAUUAUUCUCAUUUAAUUAAUAAUUUUAAUUUUUAAUGUUUGCAUUAACUAAGAAUAUUUUUUGGUAUUUUAAAUGUUUUA
rnacentral:lncRNA from 1 species